GGAAGUGCCAUUUAAUAGUUAUAUUCUUUCUACUACUUGUUACAACAUCGCUAGCAGGUGCAUCCCAAAAGCACAGUUGUGGCUAGCCGUUAUAGUUGGUUCAUUUGGUGUGUGGAUCAGAUGGUUUUUAGCACGACUAACAAUAUAUCAGCAGCUUGCAGUAGUUUCAACCUUGAAGAAAGUAGUGAGUAUACAUAUACUUUUCUUUACCUAAAUGCUUCAUGUCGUAAUGUACUACAUUAGUAUUUUUGCCUAACUAUCAAAGUGUUCUGCCGUUGACUGUUUUGUAAAAUUUAUGCUUAAUUUUAAACCAGAAGAGAAUAAUAGAAACAAAACAUAAUUGUUGAAUGAUGCAACUAAAUAUCUUUUUAUGAGUCUAGAUACAUUAAAGGCACUUUAAAUAAAAGAAUAAAUAUCAUUACUUUGCCAGAAUAGCUCAAUCUAAUGUAAUUGUGUAUCUCCUGAACCUGUGAACACGAAUAUUUGAGGUGAGUCAGUAAUAAUAUAUUAGGUGUAAAAAAAAAUUUGUAUCAGGUAAUUUCAUGUGUUGUAUCUUACCUGAGAUCUCUUUAUAGAUGAUGUUUUUGAUGUAUGUUCCUUUUUUCCGCUUUGGCUGCUCCGUCAUGACCAAAACCUUUGUCGAUGACAUUGAUAUUCCUCUUGAAAGGGCAACAUGUAACUGUCCAUGUGAAAAAACAUGUGGUAAGUACAAUCCAACAGUUGGUAUUGUCUGUCCCUGUGCUUUGUUUAUCGUCAUUGAAAAGCACAGUCGCACUGAAAAUUAUUUUCUAAUGAAUUUGAAUGGGUAACCUUCAUUUUCAGGAGUUGAUAGCUAGAUUUGUGGGAUAAACACAUGUUUGAGAGCAUUUUGCCCGAUCAUUAUUUCUACAUGUAUGACGUUCUUAUCACGACCUCUACAUAUCAUUCUUGUGUCAUUACACAAGCCAUUGGAAGCAUCUAAAUUUCUUAGUAACAUGAUAGUUAAAGUCUGAACCACCUACAAAGGAGAUGGAGCUUCAGUUGAUGCAAGAAAUCGCAGUUGAAGUAUUGAUGAAUGUUGUUUGUAUGAUGGAGAAAGCUGAUGAGACAUUGUUACCUGGUGUUUAUAAAGAAUUUGGCAAGGAGUUGCAUACUGAUCUUAUUAGUAUUGGUUCACUUAUUCUCUUUAGAUCAUUGGUUCAAUGUAUUUGUUACCUAUUGGUUGUAUGUCUUUCUCCUCGUUAUAAUAGAGCUCAUGUUAUUGCU